rnacentral:lncRNA from 1 species
CCACUAUCAAGCAUUAUCCUACACAUCAAAUAUCAUUGCACCACAAAUUUUUUACAAUCUCAACCAAGAAAAAGAAAAAACUUCAUUAACUUGCUGUCCAAAAUCCAAUGCAAAUUUUGAACAGAGAAACAUGACGAGAAAACUUACCUGAGAAUCAAAAAGCAAGCAAAACAAGUGUCAGCUUUUCUUUGCUCGGAGAAUGUUGGCGGCAACCACUAUCCCCCGGCGGGAGGGUUGUGAUUAAAAUUGGUUAUAUGCUAGGACCAUGUUACUAGUGACCAGUGGAUUGAAUCUGGCCUUUCAAGUAUGUUCUUGCGCAAAUUGGAAUAGGAUCUGCUCACUGAAGCUCCCUCAAACUCAAGUAACUAGAGGCAUAUGAAAUUACUGCAUUGGCAUUGGCAUGAAAAUAUAAAAAAUUACUGCAUUGGCAUGAAAAUAUAAAAAAUUACUGCAUUGCGAUAAAUUAGAUUUUCAAAAAAAGAUAAAUUAGAUUUUACAAAAUCAAAGUAAUCAAAUCAUUGAUUCACGAAGUAUGGACGAAAUUAAAAUCUUCCUCAGAUUUGGAUCGAACUAAGAAAAAGGAGUAAAUCUUAUUGUAAAGAUCCGGAAGUAAAAUCUCAGAUUCUCAUUCUUACAAGUCAGGAAAGGAAAGUUACACUUUCUCUUCCGAGGUUUCCAUGACUCAGUGAAUCCUUAACUUUCAAGGACUCCCUAUUAUAAUCUACUAGAAAACCCUAGAGAUUAUAUUGAGAUAUGUUAACGAAUUAAGUAUUUAAGUUGAGUUUGCCUUGUCUUCCAAGGUUUCCAUGACGAGCUAGAAAUCACAAUCCUCAAGUUACACCACCUCCUAUACGGCUAUACCUCCUAUAAAUACUAUUGUCACAAACUCACAACUCAAAAUCUUGUUGGAAACAAAGAGCAGUCAAUACAACAUGGCAUCACAAUCUUGGUAUAGAGGCAGAGUCAAGGCUGUUCCUUCAGGUGAUUGCCUUGUCAUCCAGGCCCUUCGGCCAAACAAUACCGGAAUCCCAUCGGAAAGAGUUAUAACUUUGUCAUCGGUUCGUGCUCCCAAACUAGCCGGUAAAGAUCGCAGCGCUGACGAGCCUUUUGCAUGGGACAGCAGAGAGUAUCUGAGGAAGCUCUGCCUCGGAAAGGAGGUGGUUUACUGCAUUGAUUCCGUUGAAGAACCGCUGGGAUUGGUCGGUACUGUCUUCCUUGGUAACGAUAAUGUUGCAGCCCUUGUUGUUCAAAAAGGGUGGGCAUCUGUAACGUUGCCGAGCACAACUCCUUACUAUGUUGAGCUGCAGUUUCACAUGGACCAAGCCUUUAAUAAAGGUCUCGGUCUCUGGAGCAAGGCUCCUGGUGCGGCGGAGGCAUCCAUUAGAACUCUACCUCCCCAACUCAACUUAGAGACCACCAAGACUCUUUUGGCUGCAAACAAGGGCAAGCGUGUAGAAGCUAUCGUCGAGCAUGUUUGUGAUGGCAGUACAGUUCUGGCUCAUUUGCUUCCGGAGUUUCAGUUUGUCCUAGUAAUUGUUUCAGGAACUCAGGCGCCCUACGUUGGACGUAAUGCUUAUCCUUUUGCAUCAGAAGCGAAGCUUUUCACAGAGUCUCGUGUGUUGAAUAGAGAUGUGCAUAUUGUCUUGGAGGGUGUCGACAAAUUCAGCCGUCUGAUUGGUUCUGUGUAUUACGGAGACUCUGAGAGGGACUUGGGGCUGGAGCUUGUGGAGAAUGGUUAUGCUAAAUUUGUACAAUGGAGCGCAAAAGUUAUGGAUGAAGAUGCAAAGCAGCAGCUCAAGACUGCAGAGCUUGAAGCUAAGAAGAGCAAGCGGAGGAUUUGGACAAACUUUGUACCCCCAGCUACAAAUUCCAAGCCAAUUCAUGACCAGAAUUUCACUGGAACAGUUGUGGAGGUUGUAAGUGGGGAAUGUGUCAUUGUGGCGGAUGAUUCUAGAGAGCGGAGAGUUAGCCUUUCGAGUAUUCAGUGUCCGAAGAUGGGACGGAGAGGUGAUGAGCCGGCGGCCUAUGCACGUGAAGCCAAGGAGAUGCUGAGGACACGCCUUAUUGGACGCCAAGUGAAUGUUCAAAUGGAGUAUUCCAGGAAGUUCGGCCAAGCAGAUUUGGAGUCUUCUAGAGUAAUAGAUUUCGGAUCAGUCUUUGUUAAGGCUGACGGAGAAGAUGAAAGAAACCAGGCUGAGGUAAACGUUGCUGAGCUUCUGGUUGAAUGUGGUUUCGGUACCGUUAUCAAACAUAAAGAGUAUGAUGAGAGAUCAAGAUACUAUGAUGCCCUACUUGCUGCCGAAACAUGUGCUAUUGCUGAAAAGAAAGGACUCCAUUCUUCAAAGAAGGCCCCCGUUGUGCACAUGACAGACUUGACAAUGGCAACGGCCUACGAAGCAGGAGACGUCUUGCCGUCCUUGCAGCGAACUAGGAGAGUGUCUGCAGUUGUGGAAUAUGUCUUCAGCGGUCAUCGUUUUAAACUCUACAUUCCCAAGGAGACGUGCAUCAUCUUCUUUUCUCUCUCCGGUGUGAGAUGUCCUAGUCGUGGUGAGCCCUAUUCGGACGAAGCAAUUGCCGUCAUGAGGCGAAGAUUAAUGCAGAGAGAUGUUGAGAUUGAAGUGGAGACUAUUGAUAGAAACGGAACUUUCGUGGGAAGUAUAUGGGAAUCUGGGACCAAUGUGUCAGUUGCCCUCGUUGAAGCUGGCCUUGCAAAGUAUAUUCCAUUUGGUGGUAGCGAUAAGAUCCAAGAUGGCCAUCUCCUAGAACGAGCUAUGAAAGAUGCAAAAACGAAGAAGCUGAAAAUUUGGGAGAAUUUUGACGAACAGAAAGAACUAAAGGUAGUGGUCACAGAAGUUCUGGACAGCGGUAAAUUUUAUGUGAGGACAGUUGGGGACGAGAAGAGUGCCUCUAUUCAGCAACAGCUUGCUUCGUUGAACCUUGAAGAAGCUCCUUCUGUAAGUGAUGCUUUUAAUCCUAAGCAGGGUGACAUUGUCCUUGCUCAAUAUAGUGCAGAUAAUUCUUGGAACAGAGCUAGGAUUGUCAAUAUGCGAAGGGGCAAUUUUAAAGUGUUCUACAUUGACUAUGGUAAUCAAGAGGUUGUCCCUUACAGUCAGUUACGGCCUCUUAUUCCUUCUGCUGCCGCUGU